rnacentral:rRNA from 1 species
AGGAAUGUAUAGCAAUAGCUAGUUGCAUCAUAGUAGAUAUGAUGCAAGAUCGACUAUGUUGAAUAAAAUUCUAGGUAGAAUUAUGAUAAUGACAUUGUCUGCCUAUGUGUCUUGACCAAAUUACGUGCCAGCAGUCGCGGUAAUACGUAGAAGACUAGUGUUAUUCAUGUUUAAUCGGUUUAAAGGGUACCUAGACGGUAGAUCAAGCUUUCUAAUAAAGGAAAAGGACUAAUUUACUAGAGUUACUUAUGAGGGGGUAUUAAAGUACUGCUGGUGUAGAGAUGAAAUUCUGUCAUACCUCUUUUCAAAAGAAAAACCAUGGCACAGGUAUAGGCGAAGGCAUCCCCUUAUGUGAUAACUGACGUUGAGGGACGAAGGCUUUGUGUAGCGAACAGGAUUAGAUACCCCAGUAGUCGAAGCAGAAAAUGAUGAAUGUCAUAGAUUAGAUAUAUAAGUUUAUUCUAUAAAUGAAAGUGUAAGCAUUCCACCUCAUGAGUAAUUUGGCAACAUUGGAACUGAAAUCAUUAGACCGUUUCUGAAACCAGUAGUGAAGUAUGUUGUUUAAUUUGAUGAUCCGCAAAAAACCUUACCACAAUUUGAAUAUUUAUAUUAUUUAUUGUUUUAUUAUUAAUAUUCUUCAUUUUCAUCAGAAAAAGAUGAAAAUGAAGAAUAUUAAUAAUAAGGCAAUAAGAUAUAUUUACAAGCGUUGCACGGCUGUCUUCAGUUAAUGUCGCGAGACUUUGGUUAGUUCCAUUAAAUUAACGUAAACCCUUACUUUAUUUUUAUAUAGAGUAGUUCCCCGCUAUAUUGGAUAUGAU